rnacentral:lncRNA from 1 species
GGAUAAAAAAUUGAAAAAUAGUUAAAGUUAUCAAAAAUAUAAAAAUUAUAAAAUAAUUAAAAAAUUGUGAGGGGCAAAAUGGGAAAUGCACCCAUAUAAUGGUGAGGUGGCAACAACACAAUUACAAAAAUACCCCUCCUAGGGGCAAAAUGGGAAAUUUAUAGGGCAUCAACUUUAAUAGUAGUAUAUAGAAACUUAAUUGAUUUUUUUUUUAUUUCCUUUUCAUCUUCAUCUUCUUCCUCACUCUCUUUUUUCAAUCUCCUUCUAACAUCUUUUUUUCCAGCAACACAACAAUCUCUUCUUCUCUUCUUUCAUGGUUGUUCCAAUUCAUCCCCUUCUUAUCAAUUUUCAAUUUUUGGAUCACAGCAACAACACAACAACAUCACAUCAUUAACAACAACAACACAAAAAUUUUCUUUAACCCAAUUUCAAACCAGAAAAACAAAAUCAAAUGGAAUUUGAAUCGGAAACAACAACAACUUCUUUAAAAACAAAUCAUCAAAUCAAAAAUCAACCCAGAUGGCUUCCUCUUCCAAUCGAAAAUCAAACCUAAGUGGUUAAAAAUCAAUUCCAUGUAUGAAGAAUCAAAAACUCAUAUUCAAAAAUCCUCUCUUUCAAAAUUCGAAAAUUCUCUCUUUCAAUUUCUUGAUUGUGUUGUUGUGUUGCUGUUUCUUGAUUGGAGGGUAUGAUUUGGCAGAAAAGAAAUAGAGAGAAGAGAAGAGAAAGAAGAAGAAAAGGAAUAACAAAAAGAGAGAAGGUGGGAGAGAAUAGAAGGAAGAAGAGAAUGAUGAAGAUAAUAGAAGGAAGAAGAAAAGAAAGAAGAUAAACAGAGAAGGUGGGAGAGAAGAGAAGAAAAGGAAGAAGAGAGAAGGUGAUUUACGCUAGAGAAGAAGAGAGAAAAAGAAAUGUGAUUUUUUUUUUAAUUUAUCAUUAAGGGUAUUUUAAGUAUUUCAUCUUUUUAACAUAAUUUUAAAAACAAAAAAUAAAAAAUUAUGACGUGUCAUUGCCAUUUCACCCAUCACUACACAGUCAGCGUGCCACAUCAGCUCAUUAAUCCAAAGAAUCUUCAUUUUAAAAGGGGGAAUCUCCAAGUUUUUUUUUUUUUAUAGGGGGGUAUACCAAAAGUCUCCCAAAUGGCAGGGGGGUAAAAGCCUAUUAACCCAAAAAAAUAUGAUUUUUUUUCCUUCACACAUAUUAUAUACUUCAUCCGUCCCAAAUUGUAUGACGUUUUGGGCAUUUC